rnacentral:rRNA from 1 species
CAGUAGCCACGGUAAUACGAAGGGGGCUAGCGUUGCUCGGAAUUACUGGGCGUAAAGGGCGCGUAGGCGGAUGUUUAAGUCAGAGGUGAAAGCCCAGGGCUCAACCUUGGAACUGUCUUUGAUACUGGACAUCUUGAGUGUGGGAGAGGUGAGUGGAACUCCGAGUGUAGAGGUGAAAUUCGUAGAUAUUCGGAAGAACACCAGUGGCGAAGGCGACUCACUGGCCCAUUACUGACGCUGAGGCGCGAAAGCGUGGGGAGCAAACAGGAUUAGAUACCCCCGUAGUCCCUGUCUCUUAUAC